rnacentral:tRNA from 1 species
GGCGGUGUAGCAUAGCUUUAAUGCGCUUCACUUACAUUGAAGAAGAUCUUUCCUUGGAAAGCAUUGCCU